rnacentral:rRNA from 1 species
UGUAUAAUGGGUCAGCGACUUAUAUUCUGUAGCAAGGUUAACCGAAUAGGGGAGCCGAAGGGAAACCGAGUCUUAACUGGGCGUUAAGUUGCAGGGUAUAGACCCGAAACCCGGUGAUCUAGCCAUGGGCAGGUUGAAGGUUGGGUAACACUAACUGGAGGACCGAACCGACUAAUGUUGAAAAAUUAGCGGAUGACUUGUGGCUGGGGGUGAAAGGCCAAUCAAACCGGGAGAUAGCUGGUUCUCCCCGAAAGCUAUUUAGGUAGCGCCUCGUGAAUUCAUCUCCGGGGGUAGAGCACUGUUUCGGCAAGGGGGUCAUCCCGACUUACCAACCCGAUGCAAACUGCGAAUACCGGAGAAUGUUAUCACGGGAGACACACGGCGGGUGCUAACGUCCGUCGUGAAGAGGGAAACAACCCAGACCGCCAGCUAAGGUCCCAAAGUCAUGGUUAAGUGGGAAACGAUGUGGGAAGGCCCAGACAGCCAGGAUGUUGGCUUAGAAGCAGCCAUCAUUUAAAGAAAGCGUAAUAGCUCACUGGUCGAGUCGGCCUGCGCGGAAGAUGUAACGGGGCUAAACCAUGCACCGAAGCUGCGGCAGCGACACUAUGUGUUGUUGGGUAGGGGAGCGUUCUGUAAGCCUGUGAAGGUGGCCUGUGAGGGUUGCUGGAGGUAUCAGAAGUGCGAAUGCUGACAUAAGUAACGAUAAAGCGGGUGAAAAGCCCGCUCGCCGGAAGACCAAGGGUUCCUGUCCAACGUUAAUCGGGGCAGGGUGAGUCGACCCCUAAGGCGAGGCCGAAAGGCGUAGUCGAUGGGAAACAGGUUAAUAUUCCUGUACUUGGUGUUACUGCGAAGGGGGGACGGAGAAGGCUAUGUUGGCCGGGCGACGGUUGUCCCGGUUUAAGCGUGUAGGCUGGUUUUCCAGGCAAAUCCGGAAAAUCAAGGCUGAGGCGUGAUGACGAGGCACUACGGUGCU